CACAAUAUGAAAGUGGCAGUUUCUGCAUAUACAGAAGAACAUGCACUGGUUUACAAAAUAUUACAAAUUAUUUAAAAUCACAAAAUCUUCAAUAAUAACUAGAAACCAAAGGAAGUGCUGGACUUCUGAUAAGAAGGAAAUCCGUAUGUCGGUUCAGAGAAGACAACAGAGGGCAUCAAUAACAACAGAGGGCUUCAAUAACCACAAUAACAAUAGAAAAGAAUGAAGGCGAUGUUAAGUCAAAAUUUUCAGUGUGUUCUUUUUUGACUUCAAAGAUGUUGACGAAAAUAUUGACGACGUUGACAGUAACGGUGAGGAUCACUAUCAGAAAUUAAUACGAAGAUGUUGUCAAUAGACAAAUUCU